UGGGGGAUAUUGCACAAUGGGCGAAAGCCUGAUGCAGCGACGCCGCGUGGGGGAUGAAGGCCUUCGGGUUGUAAACUUCUUUUGCUCUGAACAAGGCAUGCCUUUGGGGUGUGUUGAGUGUAGGGGUUGAUUAGCGCCGGCUAACUACGUGCCAGCAGCCGCGGUAAUACGUAGGGCGCGAGCGUUGUCCGGAAUUAUUGGGCGUAAAGGGCUUGUAGGUGGCUGGUUGCGUCUGUCGUGAAAGCUCGUGGCUUAACUGUGGGUUUGCGGUGGGUACGGGCUGGCUUGAGUGCAGUAGGGGAGGCUGGAAUUCCUGGUGUAGCGGUGGAAUGCGCAGAUAUCAGGAGAAAUACCGGUGGCGAAGGCGGGUCUCUGGGCUGUUUCUGACGCUGGGGAGCGAAAGCGUGGGGAGCGAACAGG
rnacentral:rRNA from 1 species